rnacentral:rRNA from 1 species
GACGAACCGAGCGAACGUUGUUCGGAAUCACUGGGCUUAAAGGGCGCGUAGGCGGGUGUGUAAGUCUGCGGUGAAAUCCUCCAGCUUAACUGGAGAAGUGCCGUGGAUACUGCUCAUCUUGAGGAGGGUAGGGGCAUCUGGAACGGUCGGUGGAGCGGUGAAAUGCGUUGAUAUCGACCGGAACUCCGGUGGCGAAGGCGGGUCUCUGGGCAAUUCCUGACGCUGAGGCGCGAAAGCGUGGGGAGCAAACGGG